rnacentral:rRNA from 1 species
GCGGCUCAAUUGUGAGGGCCCAUAUCUGUCCGUAAAUAAUUUGUGGACUAUUCAGCUCCAACCAUAUUUCCCCUGGAUCUCCCAAAAUUAAACUCAAGGGAUGCGGGACCCGCCCAGCGGGGGAGCAUGUGUUUAUUCGACGCAACGGGAAGACCUUACCCAAUCUUGACAUCUCUGUGAAGUCCGGGUAAUGCCGGACCCUCUUCGGAACACAGAUGACAGGUGGUGCAUGGUGUCGUCAGCUCGUGUCGUGAGAUGUUGGGUUAAGUCCCGCAACGAGCGCAACCCCUGUUCUUAGUAGCCAGCAGUUCGGCUGGGCACUCUAGGAAGACUGCCAGGGAUAACCUGGAGGAAGGCGGGGAUGACGUCAAAUCAUCAUGCCCUUUAUGAUUUGGGCUACACACGUGCUACAAUGAGAGUUACAAAGAGAAGCGACCCUGUGAAGGUGAGCAAAUCCCAAAAAAGCCGUCCCAGUUCGGAUUGUAGUCUGCAACUCGACUACAUGAAGCUGGAAUCGCUAGUAAUCGCAGAUCAGAAUGCUGCGGUGAAUACGUUCCCGGGUCUUGUACACACCGCCCGUCACACCAUGGGAGUUGGAUAUGCCCGAAGUCUGUGACCCAACUGUAAAGAGGGAGCAGCCGAAGGUGGAGCCAAUGACUGGGGUGAAGUCGUAACAAGGUAGCCGUAUCGGAAGGUGC